UACGUAGGGUGCAAGCGUUGUCCGGAAUUAUUGGGCGUAAAGAGCUCGUAGGCGGUUUGUUGCGUCGGCUGUGAAAUCCCGAGGCUCAACCUCGGGUCUGCAGUCGAUACGAGCAAACUAGAGUGUUGCAGGGGAGACUGGAAUUCCUGGUGUAGCGGUGAAAUGCGCAGAUAUCAGGAGGAACACCGGUGGCGAAGGCGGGUCUCUGGGCAACAACUGACGUGGAGGAGCGAAAGCGUUGGGGAGCGAACAGG
rnacentral:rRNA from 1 species